rnacentral:rRNA from 1 species
UACGUAGGGGGGCGAGCGUUGUCCGGAGUUACUGGGCGUAAAGGGCAUGCAGGCGGUCGGACGCGUUUCGGGUGACAGCGGGUGGCUUAACUACCCGAGUGGUCGAAAGACGGUUUGACUUGAGGACGCGAGAGGGACACGGAAUUCCGGGUGGAGUGGUGAAAUGCGUAGAGAUCAGGAGGAACACCGAUGGCGAAGGCAGCUCGCUGGGACGGUACUGACGCUGAGGCGCGAAAGCGUGGGGAGCAAACAGG